rnacentral:rRNA from 1 species
GACGAACGCUGGCGGCGUGCCUAAUACAUGCAAGUAGAACGCUGAAGGAGGAGCUUGCUUCUCUGGAUGAGUUGCGAACGGGUGAGUAACGCGUAGGUAACCUGCCUGGUAGCGGGGGAUAACUAUUGGAAACGAUAGCUAAUACCGCAUAAUAGUAGAUGUUGCAUGACAUUUGCUUAAAAGGUGCAAUUGCAUCACUACCAGAUGGACCUGCGUUGUAUUAGCUAGUUGGUGAGGUAACGGCUCACCAAGGCAACGAUACAUAGCCGACCUGAGAGGGUGAUCGGCCACACUGGGACUGAGACACGGCCCAGACUCCUACGGGAGGCAGCAGUAGGGAAUCUUCGGCAAUGGACGGAAGUCUGACCGAGCAACGCCGCGUGAGUGAAGAAGGUUUUCGGAUCGUAAAGCUCUGUUGUAAGAGAAGAACGAGUGUGAGAGUGGAAAGUUCACACUGUGACGGUAGCUUAACAGAAAGGGACGGCUAACUACGUG